CAAGUAUACAACGGGCUCGCAAAACAUAUUACAACGGCAUUUCUUUGAAUCUUUGUCAUAUACAAAUACAGUUAAUAAUAUUACAACAUGAUCCUCCACUAACAGGCUGAAUCUGCCUGCUGGCAGCCGCCAACCAAUAAGAGAAAGAUUACAGCGCGCAGCUCCUAACGAAAUUAGACACCUUAUUAUAGAUAAACUACACUAUAACAGUCUCCAGGUCAUGUAUUCGUCUCGAACAGGAAAACUAGCAAAUUCCCGCUUCCAAGAGAGCAAUCAAAGAUUCAACCUGCAGAAUAACAAUCUGAAUUCUGUGUAAGUUCAGCAAAUCAACACCCAUAAUAACAGAUUACUUUCUACUAUUAUGGAUGGUGAUUUAGGAGUAUUAGACAAGAGAUUUAACUCGAAUCCGCAAAAAAAAAAAAAAAACCAUACUUGAUAUGCACUUCCGCAGGAAAAAUAUCCUACUGAACCAAAAACAUACUGAAGAGAACAAUUUGCUCAGGAAUACAAAUAGCAAGCACAAGCAAAAAACGAACAAAAAGAAAUCGAUCAAAAAAAAGAUGAAAACCCUUCGAAGAAAGCAAGAAAGUAAUGAGAUUGUUUUGUUUGUUGGGUGAGCCCGCGCGGCCAUCAUCGCGCGCGCUCCGACCGCGGGCAGUCGUCAUCGCUCGCCGCCGGCAGCUGCCGCGGAUGCCGCGUCUCUCAACCCAAACGUCGCGCGCCACCUUCCCGCAAGCCCAUCGUGGACCACGGUGGCGGCGCGGCCGAUGGGAGAGACGACUCCGGCCGCCGCGGCGCCGCCGGACGGCUCGCUCGGAUAAGAUCAAGUAGUGUUCGGGUCGAAACCCUAGCUUCCUGCUCCUCCCAUCGCGCCCUCUUAUUGACGACAACAACCCACCCGUAGGCCAUACCAUAGAAAGCCCAGUACUUGCAGGCCCACAUAAACUCCAAUUGAUCAGCUCGGCCCAUUACCUUCGAGGUCGGUCCCACAUGUCAUAGGACGUGCUGCGCGAAUGAGGCCGAAACCCUAACGCCUCCACGCUAUAUAAUCGUUCUCUCGCCGCCGUGAUCCCCUCUACGCGCCGCCACCAAAAACCCUAACCUGCGCCGCCGCGCUCACAGCAACCAAGCACACCGCCGCAGCCACCAUGGCAGCCGUUCUCACCCGCCCGACGCCGGGCACCGUCCAGUGCUUCGGCCGGAAGAAGACCGCCGUCGCCGUGGCCUACUGCAAACCCGGGCGCGGCCUCAUCAAGGUCAACGGCGCCCCCAUCGAGCUCAUCCGCCCCGAGAUGCUCCGCCUGAAGGCCUUCGAGCCGAUCCUUCUCGCCGGCAGGUCCCGCUUCAAGGACAUCGACAUGCGUAUCCGCGUCCGCGGCGGAGGGAAGACGAGCCAGAUCUACUCCAUCCGCCAGGCCAUCGCGAAGUCUCUCGUCGCCUACUACCAGAAGUACGUCGACGAGGCGGCCAAGAAGGAGGUGAAGGAGAUCUUCGGCCGCUACGACCGGACGCUCCUCGUCGCCGACCCGCGCCGCUGCGAGCCCAAGAAGUUUGGCGGUCGCGGUGCCCGCGCGCGUUUCCAGAAGUCGUACCGUUGAGCUCCGGCGAGAUCUCUUGUUGGGUAUGGCGGCGGUGGCCUACUCCUUGCCUGCCUAUCUAUCUACCUUUUACCGCUAGUAGUUUGUUUUCUUUUGAACCAAUGAAUUGGAUAUGAUCUCUAAGAACUGUGAGUUGUCUGCAGUAUCCUGCCUAGUUGACGAAGGGGUUUUGCUAUCAUAAUCUUAUGUUAAUGAUGAAACUGAAUGUUCUGUUUGAGCUUAACUGUUUGCGAUUUGAUAUUUAGUUGAAUAGGUAAAAUGCAGCUUUAUUUAGAAUCUGUGAAUGAUAUGGCCGUCAUUUCUAGUAGCAAGUAUUGCACAAAAUGUUUUGCAUGUUGGGAGGUGAACAACGCCUGAUGCUGUGAUCGUACCGAUUCUUAGAAUAUUGUUCCUUAUCUAUGUGUACUUCCACUUCCAAGAUUAAGCAUCUCCUUCAGCUGUUGGUAAUUGUUUUAGACCCUGCAUGUUGCUAUCAGCCUAUCAUCAUUGAUACUAAUGUUGUGAAUUUAUCCUGUGAUGCCGAUUCAUGGCCAUGUUUAUUCGCCAUUGUUUUUUGGUGUUGCUUUUAGUUAAGCAUUUCUAUCUGGGUUAGAUUGAGGGCCAGCAUUUGCUUGGGUCUCUCUGUAGCUUGGUAUUAUGCCGCUGCCAGUUUUGGGGCAUUUUAAUGCCCAAUCUGAUACCCCAGUGGCAUGUUCUUCGCAUUAUUUAUGUAUUCCUGCCGUCCGAAAUUAUUUGUUGCGGAAAUGGAUGUAUCUAAAAUGUAUUUUGAGUUGAGUAUAAAACAGUAACAUAACCAAACUCUCUGGCAUUUUAUAUGGAAGUUAUGCCCUU
rnacentral:rRNA from 1 species